GAAAUGGAAAUCGUUGUUCAAGCUGAUUCGGUUGCUGAGUUAGAAAAAAAUUGAUGAAUCGAAAAACUUAAAGAAGAAUGAUGCUGAUGUUGAAAUACAAGAUCAUCCUUUUAAGCAGACUGAAGUACGAGUAUCUUUUAUUCAUUAAAUUUUUUAUUUUGAUUCAUUUUUUUAAGGUUUUUAAAAUGAAUACAUCAUAUUUUGUUGGACAUGCUUCAAUAAGAAACUAAUUUUUCAUGUGAUGCAAUUAUUUCAUAUGUUAAGGUGAUUAAAAUGUUCUUACUUAACGAUGCAAAUGAUUAGUAGUUUCUUCAAUUUAUUGCAUAUACAUAUAUAUAGUUGUCCGUGUGUAUAUAUGCAUAUUUCAUUUGUAUAUAUGUAUGUAGACAUAUAUACGAUUUGCAAUUGAUAAUAUAUACAGUUUGCACAUAUACAGUAGACGUAUAUAUAAUUUAAUGGUCAUAUAUAACGUACUAAUACGGUGUAUUUGUUUAUUGACUUCUUGUAUUUUAGAUUUUGAAUACAGAAAUGAAAAUCAAAAUUCAAACUGCCUUGGUUACUGAGUUAGGAAACGCAAAGGAGAUCGAUGCUGCAUAUGAAAUAAAAGCUCAUCAUGUUGAGCAGACUGAAGU
rnacentral:lncRNA from 1 species